rnacentral:tRNA from 1 species
GCCGGAGUGGCGAAAUUGGUAGACGCGCCAGACUCAAAAUCUGGUACUGGCAACAGUGUGUCGGUUCGAGUCCGACCUCCGGCACCA